AGGAUUGUAGUCAAAAAUGACAUCUGGGUUGCAUUCAGAAAGUACUAUUUUUAUAGUCUAUCUUA
rnacentral:tRNA from 1 species